UUCGGAUCAUAGAUGACAUUCUUUUCCAC
rnacentral:piRNA from 1 species